GACGAGGGGUCCUAGCGUUGUUCGGAAUCACUGGGCGUAAAGCGUAUGUAGGCGGCUUUUCAAGUCAGGUGUGAAAUCCCAUGGCUUAACCAUGGAACUGCAUUUGAAACUGUAAAGCUUGAGUAUUGGAGAGGAUGGUAGAAUUCCUGGUGUAGUGGUGAAAUACGUAGAUAUCAGGAGGAACACCGGUGGCGAAGGCGGGUCUCUGGGCCGUAACUGACGCUGAGGAGCGAAAGCGUGGGGAGCGAACAGG
rnacentral:rRNA from 1 species